rnacentral:lncRNA from 1 species
GACGCGCGGCCGGUGCGUGGAUGAUGAUGAACGAUAUAGCGUACGGUUGCUGAUCCGUGCGCGCGUUUGAUCGCCGCCGCGCCCGCCGCGCGAGCAAGUCGACGACGUUUACCACCUGUUUGUGCUAUCCGACCGAGUGCGUGUUUAGACUUUUGUUGCGAACUAGUUGUCCUAGUAGUACUCUAGCAGUAUGUUUCCGUGGUCGAAGUCGGGAGAGGGUCUGGAUGCUGGAUGUACUAUGGUGUGUUCUUGUGGAUGUCUGCCCGUUUAUGAUGAAUAAAUUGCCAAGUUUGGGCGAAGUGUGCAACUGUUCUUGUGGAUGUCUCUUAUCGCUUCUGAAAUGCAGCUUGCAGAAGAGACUAGGAGUGGGCACGAUCUGAACCCAGGGGCAUCUCUUGUGUUUCUCUACAUAUAUGACUAAAAUUAAAAUUAACUUACUACGAACUUACCAAGUGACUAUGGUACAAGCAUUGAUCCCCUAUGCAAGCAUACGGUUAAUUUGUUAACAAGAGAUCUGAUGUCCAAGAGAUGGACAAUAAUGUAGUGCAACAUAGUGUUUUUAUGAAACGUUUGAAGUGAACAAACAAAGCAAUGUUUUUCCUUCUUUUCUUUUCCAUGAAGGAAAUGCUUGUCGAUGUUUCUAGUGGCUAUAUCGCCUUCGGGGUGAUGCUGUUUCAGGGAAUGACUGGAUAUUCUGUUGUUCUGUUCCGUUAUGAUUUACGGACGCGCGGUUUGUAGAUGGGGAGAUUGUUCAAAGAUCUCAAGUCUUCCCUCAAAAAAUUAAUAUCUUAGUCUCUUUUUUCUUUCCCUUUUUGAAAGGAAGAUCUCUAGUCUAGAAAGGAAAACAAAGGUGUUCCAGGCGAUGACUGAAUGCUCUGCCGCUCUGUUCUGAUGUGAUACACACACAAGCGGUUUGUUGUGAUUUACGAACUCUGCUGCUCUGUUCUGUUGUGAUAUACGUAGACACGCACGAGCGGUUUGUUGUGAUUCACAGACGAGGGCUUUGUGGAUGGGGAAAUUGUUCAAAGAUAUCUCUUGUCAAGGAGAUUGCUCAAAGAUCUCUAGAAAAGGAAGACGAAAGUGGAGCCUGUGACACAAAUAGCAAAAGAUGGGCCAAAUUUAGAGCAAAUGCACCUUAAUUUUCUUCUCUUUCUAGUUCAAGGCUCUAUAAUAUUGAGGCUUAAUUAUCUCUAAUUAAGCUCUCAUGUUUUAUAGUAAGUAAAAUAGAGAAAAAAAUGUACACAACAUAUAUGGCAAUAAAGUAUCUUAUAUUUUUUAAAUAUAUAUCAAGAUUAUUUAAUAUAACUAUAUGAUAUCGAGCUAAUAGCGAGCGAGCAGUGGCUCAACUCGUUUCUCCGUCGAGCUACUUAAAGUGGUCAUAUUAAGCUCAUUUCUUUUAGUUGGCUCAACUCGUUUCUCCGUCGAGCUACUUAAAGUGCUCAUAUUAAGCUCAUUUCUUUUCGAGUCGAUCUGGGGUCAAGCCAAAAAACGAGUUCUUUUCGUGUCGAUCUUGGGUCAAAUCAAUAUACGAGUUGAUCUCGAGCGGCUCAAGCAAGCCAAAAUACGAGUUAAUCUCGAGCGGCUUAUGAACCUCGAGCUUUUCUUGCAGCCCUACUUGUGUCAACGGUUCGGUGCUCAAUAGUGCAUGUGGGCUCUUCUUUGUAGUCAUGACUUGGGAUGUUAUGGUGAUCUUGCUGGCGUGGUGCUUCGAGGAGCCGUCAGCGUCGAUUUGAUUGUGUCCAUGGUCGAGUUGGUGUGGUUGCCCUGGUCUAGAUAUGCCUUGAUGGCGGUGAUCCAGAUUUGGUCGGUGUCAGAGUAUUUUUCGACAGAUCUUGAUAGGUUAUCGCUUGACGAGUAGAUCGGAUGGCAACAUGUACAAAGGUUCAGGCCCUCGGUAGACGAGAUAAUACUCUAAUCCCGUUGCUCGUGUAUAAUGAUUGUACACGGGUUGCAAAAGGUCGAGGGAUUGAGCAAAGCUCUAAGGUUUUUGUCUCCAUUCGACUAGCCUAGCCCCGACUUAUAUGGAUUUCAGGGACUAGGGUUACAAGACCUAAGUCGGUAAGGAGUCCUCGAGAUGUCGGUUUCCUUAUCUUGUAAUCCAAGCCUUCCAUACACAUAUGUUAUAAGGCCAUGGGUCGGUUUGAUUGUCCCGUGAUAUAAUUGACCUUAGGGCCCAGAACGGCCCCAAGGUUAGGCACCCUUUGUUUUGUAACACCGUCAGUCGGCUUGGUGGUGGUGGUGUUGUAGAAUGGGGUGCAACGACCUUUUGCGGCGGCCUUGCUCGGCCCCGACACCCUCACAAGGCUAGGAGCGUUGCGUGGGUUUAGAACUGCGUCUCUAGAUCCAGGCAUGGUGGGCCCUAGGUUGACGGGUUUGGAGAGAGCUCUCUCUAACAAGGUGGCAUUCGGUGGAGGCGUACUCUACCGUCGGUGCUUGGUCCGUGUGGGCGUGUGACCACUCUAUCUUAUGGUGGCACCCUCGCUGCACAUUGUUGCGGCCACCGAAAGGUCUUCAUGAGGGUUUCUCUCUUCGAUGUAGUGGUGACAUUCUGACAACCCACAAGUAUAGGGCUUCGUUUGUAGUCUUUUUCGAUAAGUAAGAGUGUCGAACCCAACAAUGAGCUAAAGGUAGAAUUAAUAUUCUCUCAAGUUCUAUCGACCACCGAUACAACUCCACGCACACCAACAUUUACUUCACCUAAAACAAGAAAUAAAACUAGUCUGCAAGAAAAAAAUAGAAAUACUUUACAAGAUAAUAAAAGUUAGUUGUUUGAUAGAGAGUUUUUGGAGAACAAUGAGAAGGAUUGUCCAUAGGCAAUUGAAUAUAACACGUGGGAUAACUAUCAUAUGCAUCAGGGAGAGGCGUAAGCUAACACACUUUUCGUACUUGGAUCACUUGCACUUAUGACUGGAACUCUAGCAAGCAUCCGCAACUACUAAAAACAUUAAAGUAAAACCCAAUCACAACAUUAAGUGUAAAGUCCCCUUUAAUCUCAUACGCAACAACCCACUUACUCGGGUUUAACCUUCUGUUACUCGCAACCCACUAUAAGCGAAUCAUGAACAUAUUGCAAUACCCUAAAGCGGGAAUUCCCACACGUGUGUGUGG